rnacentral:rRNA from 1 species
UACGAAGGGGGCUAGCGUUGCUCGGAAUCACUGGGCGUAAAGCGCACGUAGGCGGCUUCUCAAGUCAGGGGUGAAAUCCUGGAGCUCAACUCCAGAACUGCCUUUGAUACUGAGGGGCUCGAGUCCGGGAGAGGUGAGUGGAACUGCGAGUGUAGAGGUGAAAUUCGUAGAUAUUCGGAAGAACACCAGUGGCGAAGGCGGCUCACUGGCCCGGUACUGACGCUGAGGUGCGAAAGCGUGGGGAGCAAACAGG